rfam:Paraburkholderia tropica strain P-31 P31_contig_6, whole genome shotgun sequence.
AGAAAAGUAGGUGCCGCCCCGCACAGGGGCGACGCUUGCAGACCGACAGGAAAACCAGUUCAACGCCACCCCAAGCCAAGAUCCCUAUAAUCAAAGCGAGAAAGCAACCG